CUGGCGGAAUGCUUUACACAUGCAAGUCGAACGGCAGCACGGGGGCUUGCUCCUGGUGGCGAGUGGCGAACGGGUGAGUAACACGUCGGAACGUAUCCAUGUAAUGGGGGAUAACGCAGCGAAAGCUGUGCUAAUACCGCAUACGCCCUCCGGGGGAAAGCAGGGGAUCUUAGGACCUUGCGUUAUUGGAGCGGCCGACGUCUGAUUAGCUAGUUGGUGGGGUAAAGGCCUACCAAGGCGACGAUCAGUAGCUGGUCUGAGAGGAUGAUCAGCCACACUGGAACUGAGACACGGUCCAGACUCCUACGGGAGGCAGCAGUGGGGAAUUUUGGACAAUGGGCGCAAGCCUGAUCCAGCCAUUCCGCGUGAGUGAAGAAGGCCUUCGGGUUGUAAAGCUCUUUCAGCAGGGAAGAAACGAUCUUGGCCAAUACCUGAGAUUAAUGACGGUACCUGAAGAAGAAGCACCGGCUAACUACGUGCCAGCAGCCGCGGUAAUACGUAGGGUGCGAGCGUUAAUCGGAAUUACUGGGCGUAAAGCGUGCGCAGGCGGUUUUUCAAGUCUGAUGUGAAAUCCCCGGGCUUAACCUGGGAACUGCGUUGGAAACUGAAAGACUAGAGUGCGGCAGAGGGGGGUAGAAUUCCACGUGUAGCAGUGAAAUGCGUAGAUAUGUGGAGGAAUACCGAUGGCGAAGGCAGCCCCCUGGGUCGACACUGACGCUCAUGCACGAAAGCGUGGGUAGCAAACAGGAUUAGAUACCCUGGUAGUCCACGCCCUAAACGAUGUCAACUAGUUGUUGGGGAGGGAGACCUCCUUAGUAACGCAGCUAAC
rnacentral:rRNA from 1 species